rnacentral:tRNA from 1 species
AGUAAAAUGUCUGAUAAAAAGUAAUAAAUUGUAAAUUUAUUUAUAGAAUUAAUUAAUUCUUUUUACUA